UUUGGAGGGGCCAAUUAACCUAGCAAUUACACUGACUCCUACAACAGUAAAUCACAUCCGAGUUUCAUUUUGUUCAUGUUUUGGGGGUACACCCCCGCUGCAGGACUCACUGCUGAACAUGUGCAGAGAGCCCCAUCCUGACACCACGCAUCUCUGUCCAGGACUGAAGACGUGAGACGGGGAGGGCAGACAGGCAGGUUGGACAUACGGACUGAAGCAUAAAAUGACUUCCCACUGGCCCCUGCAGAAUAACGGCAAGGAUGAGACGCGUUUGACAGACAGGCAAUGCACAUGUGACCCCCGCCAGGAAGCCAACAGAUGGGCCAUGUUUGCUAUACCCAGUAAGACGAUAGCGCUGAUCUGUCCAAACUCAGGCACCGCCAGCGGGUUCCCGUGCAUCACGGAGGUGAGCCCUGCUCUCAGCAGGUCUUGAAUGAAGUUUUCAGAAUACUGCUGGACUUUGGAGACCCAGAAGACCAGUCUGAAUGUGGCCAUCACGUCACCGUUCAUGUUGCUGGGGGGAAAACAAAAAACAGGUUUGAUUCUCUUUGACAACAAAAAUGGGGCUAAUUUUGCUUUGUUCAUUACCCAUAAGCUAUGACGUUGCAGUCAACAUAGUGAUGGGAUACCGAAGAUGAGGCAAAAACAUUCUUAAUCUGUGAAAGGAAAUGAGUGGACAUUAAAUGCUUACCGGUAUACAAGCAGGACACUCCAUAGUAAAUCCAAGUUGACUGACCUUUGUGUUUAAAACAGAUGUCAGCACUAUGGAGAACCCCGAGUUCUGAUCCUGCAGAGAUGCAUUGUACUUGAGACCCUUCAGCUGCAUCGUCUCCAUGAAGUAAUGCUGCUCCUGCACCAGGAGUCCCACAAAGACUCCAACUAUGAGGAAGAAGAGGAGGAAGACUACCAAGGUGCUCCUGUGGCAUGUGGAGUCGGAGGGAGCAGCAGCAGAGGGUCCUGGGGUCGACCACUGGCCUCCCCCAUCCUUCCUCAGAUCCAUUAUGGAAUUUGGCAGCACUGAGAUGACAAUUCACAUGGCCGACCUGAACCUGAAAAGCUAGCAGAGAUUUAAAAAAAAAUUAAAUUGAAUAAAAUUGUAUUCAAUUGUAUGAAAUAAAAUGUUAAUGAAAUUGAAUGAUGUGAAAUAUAUUACAAUAAAAUAACAUUAAACUGAAUU